AACGAACGCUGGCGGCAGGCUUAAGACAUGCAAGUCGAGCGCACCCUUCGGGGUGAGCGGCGGACGGGUGAGUAACGCGUGGGAACGUGCCUUUCUCUAAGGAAUAGCCUCUGGAAACGGAGAGUAAUACCUUAUACGCCCUUCGGGGGAAAGAUUUAUCGGAGAGAGAUCGGCCCGCGUUGGAUUAGGUAGUUGGUGGGGUAAUGGCCUACCAAGCCGACGAUCCAUAGCUGGUUUGAGAGGAUGAUCAGCCACACUGGGACUGAGACACGGCCCAGACUCCUACGGGAGGCAGCAGUCGGGAAUCUUGGACAAUGGGGAAACCCUGAUCCAGCCAUGCCGCGUGUGUGACGAAGGCCCUAGGGUCGUAAAGCACUUUCGCCAGGGAUGAUAAUGACAGUACCUGGUAAAGAAACCCCGGCUAACUCCGUGCCAGCGCCGCGGUAA
rnacentral:rRNA from 1 species